CCAAGCAAUCCCGCACAAUACCACUUCGCAUAACCGCAAAUAGGGUUCGCUCCCUCGCCCAACUUCUCUUCGCCGUGCCGCAGCUACACACUGCACGACUCAAAUCCUCAUCGGCUUCGACAUGCCACAGCAGCGCACUGCGGGAGUCAAAUCUUCAUCGGUGCUCCCUAUGAAUUCAGGCUGCAGUUUGUCAACAGUCUCGUUGCAGUUUGGCCUCUCCGUCAAGUCUACACUGCCAUCUUCAAACUCAUGGGAUCUAGGUUUGAACAGAUCCCUCCGCUUCCUUCUAUCUUCUCGUUCAGAUCAAGUAGUGGUGAGGAAAGGGAUGGUGGUUACCGGAUUUGAUGAUGGAUGUUGCCUUCUCAUCUUCCUGCGAAUAUUCCUCUCCUCUAAACAGUGCCCUAGCUCUCUUGGCAUCACGAUCCCUACUGAGAAGCACAUAUGAAGCUUGUUAUGCAGUAUCAGUUAAUUACCUUGAGUAAUAUCAGUAGAUGAAGCUUGUUAUGCAGUAUCAGUCGUUACUUACCUUGAGCAGUAUCCGUAGCUUGUUAUGGAGAUGGAACAAUCAAUGACUGGACUAAGGAUCAAAUUGAGGAUUCAACGCUUUUUUUUCACAUGAACUUUUUGCUGAUGUACAAGAAGAGACUGGCUGCAGAGAUGUGUAUGCUGACUAUGAAGAUGCAGUAUCCCACAUGCUUCUACAGAACUGAAAUAUGAUUGUCUUAUACAAACAUUCUGGCAAUAACUGAGUACUUCCAAAUGGCUUGCAGAUAUGUGUUCACCAGUUACCAUAAUGAAUUUUACAGGAUGAUAUCUUUGACCAAUACAGAUCUCACUUCUAGUUUGCACAUCAGGUGCCCAUAUAUCAGCUAUCCAUUUGUGCACUAUCAUGCACGUGGUAAUUUCCUCAAGGUACUGAAAUUUAAUUUUCAUCUACACAAUUAGAAAACUUUCUAGAAACUAGAGUAUUCAUCUACACAAUUAGAAAACUUUCUAGAAACUAGAGUAUCGGGUAAUGUUAGUUGAUUUCUAUUUUUUAAAUAAAUUAAGUGACACAAGAUCUUUAAUUAUGUGUGGAUCACAAGUAUGUGAGUUUUUUCUUCAUUUAAGUAUGAGUGUCACAUCAGAUAAUAGUGGUCCCUAGCAUUGACAUACUUGAAGGCUUGUAACAAUAAUGUAAUGUGUUUUCAUGUGGGUCCUCAUUUGGAUUCUGAAGUCAUGCUGCACUGUAUUAUGGAGAAUCAUUCAGAGAUUUGGGGUGCAUUCGUGAACAAUUUUUUUUCUGAAGUUUGGAUGAUGGACAGUGCAGAAUGAUUCGUAGGAAGACAAAUUAGGCAUAAAUUUUAGAUACAUAUUGUCUGCUAUGUUUUGAACAUGUAAUCCUUGUAAUUGAAGUAUUGUUUCUAUUCUAAUAUAAUACAAUAUAAUGUUGUGUCC